rnacentral:lncRNA from 1 species
AGGGAGGAGUGCUUUCUUUGUAACUGUAUCUGUAGUUUCUUGUUCAUAGUGUUGCGGUGAUGUUUGUGAUCUCGAAUAGAUACUUUAUAGUAUUACUUUGUCAGUGUCUUGUUUCUUUUAUUAUCUAAAGGUGUGCUAUCCUACUUUGCUAUUUAUUUUUAUGUCUUUUGUUUGUUGUAUUGUUACCUGUCCUAAGUCAGGGGUUUAUCGAAAAUAGCCUCUCUAAUUCAUCUGACGUAUCCUCCCC